GGGGAACCGACUGUCAGUUCAGAAUCAACGACAGUUACAACAUUCAGUUGGUGGCCUAUAUUCUGCACCAACAGUAGUUGAGUGCUUUGACAAUAUUUGUGUUAACCCAGAAGAGUUUGCAGCACGAUUUGAGAAGCUGGAAUGUACUGAAGAAGAUUACGAAGAAGAGCUUGAGUGUAUUGAGAAGGUCUUUUCUCCAUGGGUUGAGAAGUGCAAGCAGUUUUGUUACAUCUUGUUUCUUUGGUAUG